AUUUGUCGUAUGGUUCAUAUCCUUCGUUCUCGUCUUCUCUCUCGUAAUACCUUGAUGCAUGACAAAUAACAAUCAACACCACACAUACAGAAACCAAAAUCUUCACAAACCCUUUAGAGACAGUCACCAUUUUGAAUUAUCAAAGUAUUUCGGUAGUGCAGUUUAAUAUAAGCAGUCGUAGUUAUGUAUAUGACUUCAAAAUGAAUCUUAUUUAUAAAUUA
rnacentral:lncRNA from 1 species